rnacentral:ncRNA from 1 species
GCUAGUAAUCGCGUAUCAGAAUGACGCGGUGAAUACGUUCCCGGGCCUUGUACACACCGCCCGUCACACCAUGGGAGUGGGUUGCUCCAGAAGUAGAUAGUCUAACCCUCGGGAGGACGUUUACCACGGAGUGAUUCAUGACUGGGGUGAAGUCGUAACAAGGUAGCCCUAGGGGAACCUGGGGCUGGAUCACCUCCUUA